UUCCAUUUCCAUACCACCUUGAAUGUGCCUCAUCUCACCGGAUCUCAGAAGCUAAGCAAGGUUGGGCCUGGUUACCACUUGGAUGGGAGA
rnacentral:rRNA from 1 species